GGCUGGAUGGCCGAGCGGUCUAAGGCGGAGGAUUUAAGUUGGACUUAUUCUUAACACUCCUCUUCUCGAGAGAGAGCGUGGGUUCGAACCCCACUCCAGUCA